AUAUGAAGGCGGGCUGGAACCUCUCGGGGUUACAGCCUUGCUGAAUUAUUCACCCUUGUCUUUUGCGUACUUCUUGUUUCCUUGGUGGGUUCGCCCACCACUAGGACAAACAUAAACCUUUUGUAAUUGCAAUCAGCGUCAGUAACAAAUUAAUAAUUACAACUUUCAACAACGGAUCUCUUGGUUCUGGCAUCGAUGAAGAACGCAGCGAAAUGCGAUAAGUAGUGUGAAUUGCAGAAUUCAGUGAAUCAUCGAAUCUUUGAACGCACAUUGCGCCCUUUGGUAUUCCAAAGGGCAUGCCUGUUCGAGCGUCAUUUGUACCCUCAAGCUUUGCUUGGUGUUGGGCGUCUUGUCUCUAGCUUUGCUGGAGACUCGCCUUAAAGUAAUUGGCAGCCGGCCUACUGGUUUCGGAGCGCAGCACAAGUCGCACUCUCUAUCAGCAAAGGUCUAGCAUCCAUUAAGCCUUUUUUUCAACUUUUGACCUCGGAUCAGGUAGGGAUACCCGCUGAACUUAAGCA
rnacentral:rRNA from 1 species